CUGGAAAUGGGACACCUUCUUGACUUAUAUAUAAGUAACUCGUUAGAUAGGACGAUGGCAGUUUACUUAAAACUAUAACUAUCACUUACAUUCAAUAGAUGGAUAAUUUUGGUUUGCUUCUACUUCCGCCCCAAUAACAAACCCGAGAUUCACAAAAGCGAGCAAAGCUAAGAGAAAAGAUACAAGAAAAGCUCUACCUAAAAAAACCAUUGUAGAAAAUCCUACCUCGUUCUUAAAUUUGAUUGUGAUUACAAGUGCGCAUUGUAUACAUAUUUAUAGAGAAAUUUCAAAAGAUGAGAUGGGUUAUGUCAUGUCGGCAUGGACAUGACAUUCCAUGGUUAUUGCAGGAAAGAAAAAAAAUAAAACAUUUAUUAGAGUAAUGAAAAGUUAGUGAUGGUCGAAUGAGGAUGGGCAUGUAUUCUACAAAAAUGAUUUAAACUGACCAUGGAUAUUGUCAAACCCUAAAUCACGAUUACUUAGGUUAUAUGGUAUUAACUUAUUUCUUAUAUACGUCUUAAUUAUAUUUAAAAUAAAAUUUAAUAUCCAGCUCUCCUAGGGUGUCAACUAAAGCUCAAGCUUGAUAAGCUUAUCGAGCCGAGCUCGAGCUUGAAGUUUUUAAGCUCGGCUCAAGCUCGAUAAGUUCGUUAAGGGUUUUUUAAUAAUUAAAUAAAAUAUAGAAAUGAAGAGUUAAUAUUAAUUGAUAAGGACUCACUACAAAAAAUCAGCGCAGUUCUACUGGCGCCCAUCUCCCGACGGCCUGGCCGCUGGUAGAUACUUUCGUCGGCCUGGCCGCCGGAAUCUUACACUUGUCCGCCUGCAUAAUUUUCCCUCGUAAAUGAGAAAAAAUUUCUGGCGGCUAGGCCGACGGAAUAUUUUUUUGUAAAAAAUUCCAGCGGCCUGGCCGCCAGCUCCAAUUCAACAACGGUCGGGAGAAAAAUUCCCGGCGGCCUGGCCGCUGGAUACUUUUUCCCGCUUGUUUUUUUCAGUAGCCAGCGGCCUGGCCGCCAGAAAUUUUUGGAAAACCCUAAAUUUACAACUUGCGCCGUCGUGGUCCCCCGUACAGUCAAACUAAACUUUAGUGUUUCCCGGCGGCCUGGCCGCCGGAAAUUUUUUAUAUAAGAAAAAAAUUCCAGAAUCGUUUCAUUUUAUUUCCUCCCAAAAUCCUCUUCACUUCUCCCACUCCACUCUAACUAUCCCCAAAUCUCUCCGGCGAUUUUUCAUCAUCCAUCUCCGGUGAUCUUCGAAGUUUCCUCAAGGUAUGUUAUUCAUCUUCUUUUAGUUGUAAUCUUGUUNNNNNNNNNNNNNNNNNNNNNNNNNNNNNNNNNNNNNNNNNNNNNNNNNNNNNNNNNNNNNNNNNNNNNNNNNNNNNNNNNNNNNNNNNNNNNNNNNNNNUCUUCUUCAUCUUCUUGUUUUCAUUUAUAUAGUUAUACCUUCUUCUAAUCCGGCCGGCCACUUCUCUCCGGUCAUUGUCGAAAUUAUCUUCAAGGUAUGGUUUACAUUAUGUUCAUCUUCUUCUCUUCUUUUUUUGUUGUUUUUAAUUUGGGGGUUUAUGAUUUUGGGGUUUAUGAUUUGGGGGUUUUUUAUUUGGUGGCUUUGGGGCUUUGAUUUUAAUUGUUAGUGUUGUAAUUUUUUGGUGUUCUGUCCUAAUUAAAUGUUUUAAAUGUUAGUGUUUAAAUAAGAACACUAACAUAUUGUUAUGUUAUGUUUUAAAUGUCUUCCAAUGUUAUGUUUUUAGAUAUUUAAUGUUGGAGAUUUUGAUUUAUGUAAACAUUAAUAAUAAAAGAUUUGAUUUUGGCAUAUUGUAAGAUCAAGAUUCAAGAAUAUCUUCUUCUUACAGUUACUGUUAGAAUGUCGUCGGCUUGGCCGCCAGGAACCAUUAUACCGGCGGCCAGGCCGCCGGAAUUUGCCGCCAGAACUGCGCUGGUUUUUUGUAGUGACUAUUGAAUAAAUUAUAAAAAAUCAAAACCUAAAUUAAAUAAAUAAAUAUAGAUUUUUUUUUUGAACCGAGCCCGAGCUUGAGCUCGGCCAAACCAGGCUGACGAGCUCAAGCCCGAGCCUGGAUAAUUUCUUAACGAACCGAGAUCGAACCCGGCUUUAUAAGCAAAAGCUCGAUUUGGCUCGUUCGACACCCUAAUUUUUCCUAAACUAAAUAUAUAGAAAAAUAGUCAGUUUCAAAUUAGAUCCAACUAUUUGAGAACUAGUAAAAAAUUUAAUUUUAACCUUUCGUGCAAACUCAUCACUUCAAAUUUCCCUCCAACAUGCAACCUCAUUCAUUACUCGAGAUAUGUGUCAUAUUCAUUACUCGAGAUUUGAAGACUAAGUUCUUAUUUAGUUCUCAAAUAAUGAGAUAUUCCAUCUGAAUUUCACCUUAUAUAUUAAAUGUUUCAUUUUUGGAUGAAGAUUGGAAGACCAGAUGUGCAAGUUUUUAUUUAGUUUUCAAAUAGUGGGAUAUCUCAUAUGAAUUUCGCCCAAUAUAUUAAAUGGUUUCAUCGUUGGAUGAAGAUUGGAAGACCAGAGGUGCAAAUUCUUAUUUAGUUCUCAAAUAAGAGGAUCUCAUCUGAAUUUCACCCUAUAAAAAAAAUCUAUUUACAAAAUUAUGACUUUUUAGUGUUAGGUUGACCAUCAACAGGGACUAGGGUUCCGUUCGCUUUAUGUCGGACCCACAGAAGGCUCCCACGAAAGCGGAACUAAAAUUCUUCGUCGAGACUCGGGUCACCUCUCCAAAUCGCCGAUUGGGUCAGCUAAAUCGUCGAUUGAGGUGGAAAAUCGCCGAGUUGAGGAAAAGAUCGCCAGAGUCUGGCAGACUGCCUACCUUCCCUCUGAACUCGCCGAUUUCACCCCCAACUCGACGGUUACACCCCAAAUCGCCGAUUUGGACCGUUACUCGCAUCCAACUCGAGCCAUAAUGGUUGCCAUUAUGGUCAGACGCGAUCUCGGCCGCUGCGGAUUACUCCCCCCGUGCUCAAUCCAAAGGCAUCAGUUCCAUCUUUUUUAGAGUGUGAAUCACGAAGAAAUCGCCUAUUUGAGCACUAAAUCGUCGAUUUCUUCCCGGGAGACUUGACGUAGAGCGCACGUCGUGGAUCUCAGAGCCUCCAACACAAGAAGGUAACCUCUCGCACCACCGCGAGCGCUGGAAGGAUAUUCCGUUCCUCAUCACUUCUCCAUUAAUGUCUCACCCCGGUUUUGUCUCGGUCUUCAUAGACUAGGACGGAGCAUCUCACCCUUAAGUAAAUUAACGUUCCCCAUUAAAUUAAUUUGUAACGACUUGCCCCAUCGCACAUUCGCACCCCUUAGUAUAUUAAUUUUUAACGACUUUUUAAUUGAUUUUUGUGUUGAUUUUGCUUCUAUCAUUCGUUAUUUUAAAAGUAAAAGGGUCUAUGCGCCCAACGUCUAAAUAUUUAAGUAGCAUGUACACAUCCCUUCAAUUCCCUCGUCAUGUGAUGGAAACACUUGCCCUCAAAUUAGAGUCAGUUUACAUAUAUAGAGUAUAGAAAUAGAAACAGAAGUAAAAAAAAGAGAGAAAGAAACUCAUUGACUCUCUCUCAUUAGCUAUGUAGUCUAGUUAUACAGUAAUUAGAUACGCUGUCUUAGAAUGUUGGUCUCUCAUACUUCCAUCAUAGAAUUACAUUUGCAAUGGUGUAAUAGUUUAUAUAGUGUUGCAAUGAUAUAUUACAAAUUGUAAUUUUAAUUUUCACCUCUAAACAACCAUAUAAAAUGAAUCUAUAUAUUCUCAUACAUGCCCCCUUACUUCCUUGAAAAUUCAAAAAAAAAUCUCACCUCUUCGAUUUAAACUGGUAUACACUCGCCUCCCAUAACCUGUAAGACGUUGUCCAUCCACUGCUCUGUUGGUGACUCAUUUUCUUCAAUUUCCGGUCGUCCAUGAGGGGAUUCCAUUCUAAUGCGUCAUUCAUGUCACUAGCUACCUAUUGUCAGAUGACCACGUACCAUUGGUUGUAUCAUGGCGACUCAUCAAACCUAGUCAAGAUUCAACUUGUCUCAAUGUCGAAAGAUGUCAAUAUAUGCCCCUUGUAGCUUCCAGUGAUGGAUUGCAUUAUUUUACCAGUAAAUGCCUUUACUUUGUCAAAACCCAAUUGAGCAAAUAAUUAUGUUCUUCAAUGAAAAUAAUUUGUUUGAUGAACUCGAUAUAAAUUCUACUUCAAUGAUCUAUGAUUUUAUUUUUAUUUUUUUUAAUACAUGUUAAAUAUUUUAUUGAUUUUAAAAUAUCAAACUCAAUUUCUUUUUUGAAUAUCAAAUUUAAUAUAUAUUUUUGAAUUGAUUUUCAAAAUACAAGUCUGUUAUCUUCUUUAUAUAUCUUGUAGUUUCAUUCUAUCUUCUUUAUCUCUGUUAUCUUCUUUAUCUUGUAGUUUUUAAUCGUGGAGUUGAUCACAUGUGAUCGCAUCUCUUUUUUGCUUUGAAAUUUAUAUAUUAACAGGUGGUUUUAAUUCAAAAAAAAUGUUGAUUCUAAUUUUCAGAAUUUAAGAAUUUGUUUAUGUUUUUCAAAAAUUGAAAAAUGUGAGAUUCAAAUAUGAAAAAAAUGAUUGGAUCGAAAAAAUGCAGUUAUGUCCAACAAGAGAAGAAAAAAAUCAAGAUAAGAAGAGGUCGAUAUUUGGGAUGAGAAGAUCAAGAUAUGUUUUAGUUUUUUACUUAUAUCUUCUAUCUAUUUAUUUGUAAUAUAAAUGUUUUAGGGUUUUAUAAUUAAAUUAAAGAAAGGAAUUCAAUCUAUUCCAUCGAUUAAAAUAUAAAUGAAGAUUAAGAAUAGAUCGAGCUCUAACUUAAAAUGAGGUUAACUUCACCUAAUACCACUACAAAAAAAAGACAUUGUAUAGCGAACAUAUAGUGGCGGGUCUGGUGGAUUUCCGUCAUGACAAGUUCAGGGCAAGGCUUGGGCAGAAGUGCGGAUUUUUGUAGUUUUCGCUGGAUUUUCGUUAUCAAUAGACCGUCAUACAAUGUCUUUAUUCUUGUACGUAGUACUGUACCUACCCUCUCCCAAUUGAAACUAAUUAAAUUAAAUGUAAACCUAAUCUCUUUGAUCUUAAUUUUCUAUUUUAAACACCAAGAUUUCAUUCGAUUCAUCUUUAUUCAAUACAUAUAUAAGAGUAGAUGAAAGUUACAACAUGAUUAAUCAUUCCAUGAACAGUUAACUAUGUUGUAAUUACGCGUAGAUAGGAAACAUAAACACCUUAUUUCAGAUAGCACUCAUUAAAAUAGCAGUCGCAAGUGAACUGUAUAUAAUAAGAACAAUAGCGGCUAUAAUAAUAACAAUUAUCAUAGCAUUCUCCUGGAAAUGGGACACCUUCUUGACCUAUAUAUAAGUAACUCAUUAGAUAGAACGAUGGCAGUUUACUUAAAACUAUAACUAUCACUUACAUUCAACUGAUGGAUAAUUUUGUUUUGCUUCUACUUCCGCCCCAAUAACAAACCCGAGAUUCACAAAAGCGAGCAAAGCUAAGAGAAAGGAUACAAGAAAAGCUCUACCCAAAAAGGCCAUUGUAGAAAAUCCUACCUUG
rnacentral:lncRNA from 1 species